rnacentral:lncRNA from 1 species
CAAAAUUUCCUGGCUAGGGCAUAUCGGGGAAUUGUAUGCAACGUUUCCAAGCUCUCCUUGUUCUCUAAUACAACCUAAUACAUCUUUUAUGAUUUCAGAAGAACAGGCAACCACGCAGAAUUCAGGGGCACCACAGUCCAAGAGAUCAAGGAAGUCUUUUCCCAAAUGGAAUCCAGGGAAUGGCUUGAGGAAACCCCAGAAUGACAAGACCUUCAGGUCCAUUGUGGAAGAGGCAGAGGCAAGUCUUCAGCAAAGUCCUGCUACACCUUCUGGCCGAAGAGAAAGUCACCCUGUCAGCAUCCUGGUCAAGUCCUGCCCUUCGGAGGCAACGUCUCCACAGUCUUCCUGUCUCUUCCAGGCAACCUCUGCUUUCCAAACAAUCUAUGCAGCUGGAAUAUCCCAGAGAGGGGCAACAAGGCCAAGCCAAGGGAGCAGAGAUAGUGCUACCAUAGCAACAAGAAGGAAAUCAGAUGAUCUCGUAACACAAUGCCAGAAACACAUCUUUAUCAACAGCUGUCUCGAGCAAGCAGGAGUGUUGCUUUCGUGAGAAGGGGAGCUCUAAUGUAGCACCAUCUGUAAAUGUUCUGCACCACCGCAGGCUGAAAUUGGGCCUCGCAUGGCAUGGAUUUUUAUUAAAGGCUCAAAGCAGCGACAAGCAAAUGGUCCCAGGAGCACAGCACUUGAUGAGCCAUUUCUUGAAGCAGGAGGGCAGCAUGUGGUCAUGAUGCUCCUGAUGGCAAAGACAUUCCCAAUUAUUGCGCUUAUAAAAAAAAUGGAUGCUUUCCCAGUUCUCAUAGUGUUUUGGAUCACUUGAUGGAACUGAUUAUAUAAGGUUUUCCCUAUGCACUUUGUAUUGGGAACGUGGUGGCGCUGCUGGUUAAAAUGCAGAAGCCUCUGUGCUGCAAGGUCAGAAGAUGAGCCAUCGUAAGAUCGAAUCCACGUGAUGGAAGGAGCUCCCGUUGCUUGUCCCAGUUCCCGUCAACCUAGCCAUUUGAAAGCAUGCAAAUGCAAGUAGAUAAAUAGGUACCACCUCGGUGGGAAGGUAACAGCGUUCCAUGUCUAGUCGUGUUGGCUACGUGACGACGGAAACUGUCUACAUACAAACGCUGGCUCUCUGG